rnacentral:rRNA from 1 species
CCUACGGGGGGCUGCAGUGGGGAAUAUUGGACAAUGGGGGGAACCCUGAUCCAGCCAUGCCGCGUGUGUGAAGAAGGCCCUCGGGUUGUAAAGCACUUUCAGUGAGGAAGAACGCCUGGUGGUUAAUACCCAUCAGGAAAGACAUCACUCACAGAAGAAGCACCGGCUAACUCCGUGCCAGCAGCCGCGGUAAUACGGAGGGGGCGAGCGUUAAUCGGAAUUACUGGGCGUAAAGCGCGCGUAGGUGGCUUGAUAAGCCGGUUGUGAAAGCCCCGGGCUCAACCUGGGAACGGCAUCCGGAACUGUCAAGCUAGAGUGCAGGAGAGGAAGGUAGAACUCCCGGUGUAGCGGUGAAAUGCGUAGAGAUCGGGAGGAAUACCAGUGGCGAAGGCGGCCUUCUGGACUGACACUGACACUGAGGUGCGAAAGCGUGGGUAGCAAACAGGAUUAGAUACCCUUGUAGUC